AUGUCGCGGGUUGCAAUUAAGCAUGGCCGGCGAUGCGACGGGUCGGCGGCGCUGCGUUGGAGCACCUCGUGCCGGUAUCGCGGAUGCAGUGAAGCAUGGCCGGAGCUGCGUUGGAGCACUUUGUGUCAGUGUCGCGGCUGCAAUGAAGAAUGGCCGGAGCUGCGCCGGGUCGCCGGCGCUGCGUUGGAGCACCCGCAUGCCGGUGUCGCGGCUGCAAUGGAGCAUGGACGGAGCUACGGAGGGACCUCGGCGCUGCGUUGUAGCACCGCCGCGCCGGUGUUGGCGGCUGCAAUGAAGCAUGGCCGGAGCUGCGCCGGGUCGCCGGCGCUGCGUUGGAGCACCGCAUGUCGGUGUCGCGGCUGCAAUGAAGCAUGGACGGACCUACGGAGGGACGUCGGUGCUGCGUUGUAG
rnacentral:rRNA from 1 species